rnacentral:piRNA from 1 species
UGGUACAGAAAAUGUUUUCACAGGGC